rnacentral:rRNA from 1 species
GACGAACGCUGGCGGCGUGCCUAACACAUGCAAGUCGAGCGAAUGAAGUUCCUUCGGGAACGGAUUUAGCGGCGGACGGGUGAGUAACACGUGGGCAACCUGCCUCAUAGAGGGGAAUAGCCUUCCGAAAGGGAGAUUAAUACCGCAUAAGAUUGUAGUACCGCAUGGUACAGCAAUUAAAGGAGCAAUCCGCUAUGAGAUGGGCCCGCGGCGCAUUAGCUAGUUGGUGAGGUAACGGCUCACCAAGGCGACGAUGCGUAGCCGACCUGAGAGGGUGAUCGGCCACAUUGGGACUGAGACACGGCCCAGACUCCUACGGGAGGCAGCAGUGGGGAAUAUUGUACAAUGGGGGAAACCCUGAUGCAGCAACGCCGCGUGAGUGAUGACGGCCUUCGGGUUGUAAAGCUCUGUCUUCAGGGACGAUAAUGACGGUACCUGAGGAGGAAGCCACGGCUAACUACGUGCCAGCAGCCGCCGUAA